rnacentral:rRNA from 1 species
UACGUAGGGGGCAAGCGUUGUCCGGAUUUAUUGGGCGUAAAGAGCGUGUAGGCGGCUAGAUAGGUCCGUUGUGAAAACUCGAGGCUCAACCUCGAGACGUCGAUGGAAACCAUCUGGCUAGAGUCCGGAAGAGGAGAGUGGAAUUCCUGGUGUAGCGGUGAAAUUCGUAGAUAUCGGGAGGAACACCAGUGGCGAAGGCGGCUUCUGGCCAUCAACUGACCGCUGAGGUGCGAAAGCGUUGGGG